ensembl:lncRNA novel transcript
GAAGACUAUUCUCAGCAAUCAGACUGUCGACAUUCCAGAAAAUGUCGACAUUACUCUGAAGGGACGCACAGUUAUCGUGAAGGGCCCCAGAGGAACCCUGCGGAGGGACUUCAAUCACAUCAAUGUAGAACUCAGCCUUCUUGGAAAGAAAAAAAAGAGGCUCCGGGUUGACAAAUGGUGGGGUAACAGAAAGGAACUGGCUACCGUUCGGACUAUUUGUAGUCAUGUACAGAACAUGAUCAAGGGUGUUACACUGGGCUUCCGUUACAAGAUGAGGUCUGUGUAUGCUCACUUCCCCAUCAACGUUGUUAUCCAGGAGAAUGGGUCUCUUGUUGAAAUCCGAAAUUUCUUGGGUGAAAAAUACAUCCGCAGGGUUCGGAUGAGACCAGCGGCUUUGAUUCAGCAAGCCACAACAGUUAAAAACAAGGAUAUCAGGAAAUUUUUGGAUGGUAUCUAUGUCUCUGAAAAAGGAACUGUUCAGCAGGCUGAUGAAUAAGAUCUAAGAGUUACCUGGCUACAGAAAGAAGAUGCCAGAUGACACUUAAGACCUACUUGUGAUAUUUAAAUGAUGCAAUAAAAGACCUAUUGAUUUGG